AUGGCCAUGGAGCCAACAGCACUGAUCUCCAACUCGAAACAUAGGUCAUGCAUUCUUGGACUCAACAUUUCUGGCAGUGGCUUCCUGAUUGUGGCAGAGGCAGAUGCUGUCAUGGCAGGCCAGUUCUGGAACACAGCUGUGGGAAUCAUCCUGGAGGCCCGUCCUGAAGCCUGCUCCUCCAGCCCUUCCAGCCAUGUUUGCUCUGGACUGAAUAAUCAGAAGUAUCCUAGGUUAUUUUUAUCACCAAGCAGGAAAAUGAGGUGGCUGAGAACACACACUUUGAAGUCCAGCAGGCUGUGUUUCCCUUUCCAAUUCUGCCACAUGCUGUGCAACUUCAGGAGAGAGAUCCAAAAUGAUCUAAGGCAACCUGCCAUUCAACAUGUGUUCUGGGUACCAGUGGCCUGCCAUUCUCAAAGAUACACGUGCGACCUUUCCUAUCUUGGAGCCACUUUGCCAGUAUUGAUCGCUGAUUGCAAGGGAGCACGCUUUGCAACUGCAUAG
rnacentral:lncRNA from 1 species